AAGGAGCACCAUUUAUUGUUCCCCCGUCCCCACGUGUGUGGGAUCAGUGCGGUUGGGAGAUCAGUGCCGGGCCUGUAUGGGUUUCCGGUGGGUGCACAACAAACGUGGAAGUGGUGUGGGAACACUGCUUUGAGGAAUCAUCAGACACACUAUUGGGCUUUGAGGCAACAGGCCCGUUGUUUCCCUGGCCACUGUGUGUGGUGGGGGGUCUGGUGUCGCCCUGUCUUUGGUGGUGGGGUGUGGUGUUUGAUUCGUGGAUAUGGUUGCGAGCAUCUGAACAGGUGGCUCCCUUUUGGGGGUUGCUUGUUUUGUAAUGCAAUUUUUUAUUCUUCCGAGAAUAUUUUUCUGUUUUGUG
rnacentral:misc_RNA from 1 species